UGGAGGCAGCAGUGAGGAAUAUUGGUCAAUGGGCGGAAGCCUGAACCAGCCAUGCCGCGUGCAGGAAGACGGCCUUAUGGGUUGUAAACUGCUUUUAUGUGAGGAUAAUAUUCAUCUUGCGAGGUGGAAUGAAGGUAUCACAUGAAUAAGGAUCGGCUAACUCCGUGCCAGCAGCCGCGGUAAUA
rnacentral:rRNA from 1 species